rnacentral:rRNA from 1 species
GAUGAACGCUGGCGGCGUGCCUAAUACAUGCAAGUCGAGCGAACAGACGAGGAGCUUGCUCCUCUGACGUUAGCGGCGGACGGGUGAGUAACACGUGGAUAACCUACCUAUAAGACUGGGAUAACUUCGGGAAACCGGAGCUAAUACCGGAUAAUAUAUUGAACCGCAUGGUUCAAUAGUGAAAGACGGUUUUGCUGUCACUUAUAGAUGGAUCCGCGCCGCAUUAGCUAGUUGGUAAGGUAACGGCUUACCAAGGCGACGAUGCGUAGCCGACCUGAGAGGGGGAUCGGCCACACUGGAACUGAGACACGGUCCAGACUCCUACGGGAGGCAGCAGUAGGGAAUCUUCCGCAAUGUGCGAAAGCCUGACGGAGCAACGCCGCGUGAGUGAUGAAGGUCUUCGGAUCGUAAAACUCUGUUAUUAGGGAAGAACAAAUGUGUAAGUAACUAUGCACGUCUUGACGGUACCUAAUCAGAAAGCCACGGCUAACUACGUG